CCUACGGGUGGCUGCAGUCGAGAAUCUUCGGCAAUGGACGCAAGUCUGACCGAGCGACGCCGCGUGCGGGAUGAAGGUCUUCGGAUUGUAAACCGCUGUCAGAGGGGAUGAAGUGCAUGGGAGUUCUCUCCUAUGUUUGACAGAGCCUCAGAGGAAGCACGGGCUAAGUUCGUGCCAGCAGCCGCGGUAAUACGAACUGUGCGAACGUUAUUCGGAAUCACUGGGCUUAAAGGGUGCGUAGGCGGUUUUCUAAGUCAGGUGUGAAAUCUCUCGGC
rnacentral:rRNA from 1 species